rnacentral:rRNA from 1 species
CAUGCAAGUCGAGCGGGCGUAGCAAUACGUCAGCGGCAGACGGGUGAGUAACGCGUGGGAACAUACCUUUUGGUUCGGAACAACACAGGGAAACUUGUGCUAAUACCGGAUAAGCCCUUACGGGGAAAGAUUUAUCGCCGAAAGAUUGGCCCGCGUCUGAUUAGCUAGUUGGUGAGGUAACGGCUCACCAAGGCGACGAUCAGUAGCUGGUCUGAGAGGAUGAUCAGCCACAUUGGGACUGAGACACGGCCCAAACUCCUACGGGAGGCAGCAGUGGGGAAUAUUGGACAAUGGGCGAAAGCCUGAUCCAGCCAUGCCGCGUGAGUGAUGAAGGCCCUAGGGUUGUAAAGCUCUUUUGUGCGGGAAGAUAAUGACGGUACCGCAAGAAUAAGCCCCGGCUAACUUCGUGCCAGCAGCCGCGGUAAUACGAAGGGGGCUAGCGUUGCUCGGAAUCACUGGGCGUAAAGGGUGCGUAGGCGGGUUUUUAAGUCAGAGGUGAAAUCCUGGAGCUCAACUCCAGAACUGCCUUUGAUACUGAGAAUCUUGAGUUCGGGAGAGGUGAGUGGAACUGCGAGUGUAGAGGUGAAAUUCGUAGAUAUUCGCAAGAACACCAGUGGCGAAGGCGGCUCACUGGCCCGAUACUGACGCUGA